ACUUAACCGACUGGCUGCUGUGAGUGGGGGGCGGCUGCGCUUACCCGUGGCUGCUGGUGCCGGGACCGGCUGCUCCCCGCAGAGGAGGAUGCUGGUGCUCAACAAGCUGGUCCUGGCCAUGCUCAGGCAGCCAUUCAGCAGCCAAACCCACCCCAUGCACCCUGGCCCAUCUCUGGAAGGAUUUUUUCUGCACGGAGCUACGCUGAGUCUCUGUAGGUGUCCUGAGCCUCCCCUGUGGGGAAAGCAGCCAGGGCUAGGUCUGCAUCCACAGCCAGGUCUACCUUCCACCUUCAGACUCCUCUACAGUGCAGGUAGAGUGUGCAGACACAUGCCUUCCUCCACUGCCUCAGAGACCAGCAGCUCUUUUAUCUCCACCUGAGACAUCUUCCCUGAGAUCUUCUUGACUGAGACCUCCUCAGGAGCUAGAAUCUAGUGUCAGCACCCAGGUCCGUAGCAACUGCAGAGGGGGAGGAUCUCUAUGCCAAACCUCUGCUACACACGUAGAUGGGGGUUGUGUAAGUGACAGUUACUCUUGAUGUGCUGGAGGUUGGUCCUGACUGGCACCUCCAGACUGCGACCUUCUGAACUACGCUCAGAGGGGCUGGGUGGACCCUGCAGCAGUUAGCCAGUGCAUAGGGUUCUCCACCCCAUGCAUCCCAUCAUGUGACCCAGAAGGCAAGGGCAGACUUGACUCAUGCUUCUCUUGCUUUCCUCAAACAAGUAUUGCAGGAGGGUGCUUUCCACCCACCCCUCACCCUCUGGAACAUGCCAUCAGGCCCAUGCCCCAUAAGGCCCUCAGCACACCAUAUGAGCUGGCUGCACAAUAUCCAGCCGUUCUACCUCCAAACCAUGCCCAGAAAACAUCUGUGCAUGCUCAUGCUUCACACCAUCCAUUUCCUUGCCUUCAUGUCCUGCCCUGACACCAGGUUCUGCCAUAUAUAGAUAGUGAGGAAUCCAGCAGACCAGCCUGUAUUCCACAGCUCACUGAGGAUAUUUGUUGGUGGCUCCUCCGCAGGGCUAUGAGCAUGGGCAUGUAACCUGGCACAGUCCACGAAGUCGUCUGACUCCUGUCCUUUUUGUGAUAAGAGAUAGAUCCUGGCGCACAUCUGUGUAGAAUGCGUUAGGUUACAGCCCUUCUUCUGGCUCCUUCAAAACCUUUUACUGAGAUCCUUGCUGCACUUCUCCCCACCUCUCCUGAUCUACACCCACCUGAUCCAUGGCCCCACAAAGUCACGGGAGCACCUCAUCAACCUCCUCCUGGUGCUGGCCAAGAUGCCAUCCAUCGUACUCAGAGAAGGAAGCUGGAUGGGGGAGUGGUUGGUGAAUGUAGGGUUUAUUUCCAUUCCCUUGUUUGGUCAGGUCUCCAAGAAGUUUCAGUAGGUGGUGUCCAUGUACACCUUAAAUGCCUUUGAGGAGUAGUGGGUGUUGUCAGGGGGAUCUCUGCUUAGUGUCCUCCUCUAGAUCACUUUAUUUUUUACCUUUGACCUCACCCCCAUUAGUCAGGGUGUCUCCCCUCACCCCAUUUGUUGUCCCCCAAAAUAAUUUGUGGUCUAGUUUAAGGGGGUAGGCCUAGAGCUUCAACCCACCAAUGACUAGAUAUUUAGCUAAGGUUUAAAGCACCAUUUAACUUCAGCUGGAGAUUUGUGGUUGCAGACAGGAGUCAGAUGAAGGGCAACACUUGAGCUGUACCUGGAACAAAACACUGCAAUGAAGACAAGUUGUAGAACCACUCUGAAGUGAGGAAACCUCCCUUCCAUGCUAGUGAGAGCUGGUGGAGUUUGGGGUUGGGCUAGGAUUGUUUUUCUUUUGAAGAGUGAUCUCACCAUAGAGUUAACUAACUUUUAUCUCAGGGCACACACAGAAAUGGCCCUAGAACAUCAGCGGGAAGUGGGCUGAGCAGGGGCAUCAGUUUUUGAGAAUUUAAACUGUCGCUCAAAAAACCCCUCUGAAUGUGAACCAUACAGUGUGUCUUCCUGAGUCAGCAGAUUGACUCAAAUUAUAAUUCAUAUAUUUCUUA